UAAGGGCGCACGGUGGAUGCCUUGGCACUAGAAGCCGAUGAAGGACGUUACUAACGACGAUAUGCUUUGGGGAGCUGUAAGUAAGCUUUGAUCCAGAGAUUUCCGAAUGGGGAAACCCAGCAUGAGUUAUGUCAUGUUAUCGAUAUGUGAAUACAUAGCAUAUCAGAAGGCACACCCGGAGAACUGAAACAUCUUAGUACCCGGAGGAAGAGAAAGAAAAUUCGAUUCCCUUAGUAGCGGCGAGCGAAACGGGAAGAGCCCAAACCAACAAGCUUGCUUGUUGGGGUUGUAGGACACUCUAUACGGAGUUACAAAGGACGACAUUAGACGAAUCAUCUGGAAAGAUGAAUCAAAGAAGGUAAUAAUCCUGUAGUCGAAAAUGUUGUCUCUCUUGAGUGGAUCCUGAGUACGACGGAGCACGUGAAAUUCCGUCGGAAUCUGGGAGGACCAUCUCCUAAGGCUAAAUACUCUCUAGUGACCGAUAGUGAACCAGUACCGUGAGGGAAAGGUGAAAAGCACCCCGGAAGGGGAGUGAAAUAGAACCUGAAACCGUGUGCUUACAAGUAGUCAGAGCCCGUUAAUGGGUGAUGGCGUGCCUUUUGUAGAAUGAACCGGCGAGUUACGAUUUGAUGCAAGGUUAAGCAGUAAAUGUGGAGCCGUAGCGAAAGCGAGUCUGAAUAGGGCGUUUAGUAUUUGGUCGUAGACCCGAAACCAGGUGAUCUACCCUUGGUCAGGUUGAAGUUCAGGUAACACUGAAUGGAGGACCGAACCGACUUACGUUGAAAAGUGAGCGGAUGAACUGAGGGUAGCGGAGAAAUUCCAAUCGAACCUGGAGAUAGCUGGUUCUCUCCGAAAUAGCUUUAGGGCUAGCCUCAAGUGAUGAUUAUUGGAGGUAGAGCACUGUUUGGACGAGGGGCCCCUCUCGGGUUACCGAAUUCAGACAAACUCCGAAUGCCAAUUAAUUUAACUUGGGAGUCAGAACAUGGGUGAUAAGGUCCGUGUUCGAAAGGGAAACAGCCCAGACCACCAGCUAAGGUCCCAAAAUAUAUGUUAAGUGGAAAAGGAUGUGGCGUUGCCCAGACAACUAGGAUGUUGGCUUAGAAGCAGCCAUCAUUUAAAGAGUGCGUAAUAGCUCACUAGUCGAGUGACACUGCGCCGAAAAUGUACCGGGGCUAAACAUAUUACCGAAGCUGUGGAUUGUCCUUUGGACAAUGGUAGGAGAGCGUUCUAAGGGCGUUGAAGCAUGAUCGUAAGGACAUGUGGAGCGCUUAGAAGUGAGAAUGCCGGUGUGAGUAGCGAAAGACGGGUGAGAAUCCCGUCCACCGAUUGACUAAGGUUUCCAGAGGAAGGCUCGUCCGCUCUGGGUUAGUCGGGUCCUAAGCUGAGGCCGACAGGCGUAGGCGAUGGAUAACAGGUUGAUAUUCCUGUACCACCUAUAAUCGUUUUAAUCGAUGGGGGGACGCAGUAGGAUAGGCGAAGCGUGCGAUUGGAUUGCACGUCUAAGCAGUAAGGCUGAGUAUUAGGCAAAUCCGGUACUCGUUAAGGCUGAGCUGUGAUGGGGAGAAGACAUUGUGUCUUCGAGUCGUUG
rnacentral:rRNA from 1 species